UAGGUGCACCGUGGGCGUGCAGAUCCGACCCCAUCCACUCACCCAAGUCUCUCUCUUUUCUCUCGCCCUCUCUGCUCUCUCUUGUCGCCGCCGUCUAGGCCGGCCAAUUCCGGUGGUCAACUCCGGCAGGCAGCACACUCAUCGCGCCGCUGCGACAAUCCAUGCGGCUGGAUCCGCCGUUCCCGGACACCCGCGGAUCUCCCCCGUGGCUAGGGUUUCGGUUGCCUCCCAACUCCGGCUGGUUCUCUCCUCUCCGACACCUACCCAACCCCGACGCCCCGCUAUGUCUCCUGGAUGGCCUUGUACUGCUCGACAAACUCCGCUUCUCCCUCGACCUCCACGACGCGCGCCGCGCACCCAUGGCGACCGCGGAUCUUGAGACUGUGGCGGGUUGCUGCUGCUGCAGGUGGUCGAGGCCGUCCCCGACGAGCCCUCAUGGCUGCUCCCUCCUCCACACCUGUAUGAUGGAUGGGCAUGUACUAGCUAAGCUAGUAGGCGCCCUCCUUUGAUGUCCGGGACCCCACGCCCCAGCUGGAGCUGAUGAGACCUUGGCCUGGACGGCAACGUCGACCAUGACGACGCCCCAUGCAAGGUCUGCUGCACAAGAGACCGCCUUGUGAUGUGCGUGGUGGAGAGCAUUACCAGCAACUUCGCUGGCCUACACCUGCGCUCACUCCGACGCCUCUCUCCAGUGUGUGCUUCUUAUGCUAUGGAUAAGCAGGGUUCUUGCAUGUGUGGAAGUGCAUGACUUGUUGAUUAUCAUCUAGCAUCCGUUCUCUCCCCAUGCGAUGGCAGUGAUCACAAUGCUGGACCACCUCUCGUUCUAUCGUGGUCCAGGUCCAAAUAUAUAAUCCUUAUCGCCAACAACCAUACCAGGUCCCAAGAUUUGGCACCUUAAAAUAUAACUGCGCACAAGAGAACAUUUGUUAUGUGAGCCCAACAUCAUCAAUAAAUUCGUUGGCGUGCGCCAGCCCUCACUCCCUCCUGCCCCUUCAAUGGCCGCUUCUUUUUUGAUUCUGACAUAGGUAAGCCAGUGACUUUCCUCUGCUCUUUUUCAUUCUCUGUGUGCCCACGACCGUCGAGCCCUGGUGAAUUUCAUGUGCAAGAAUGAAUUUAUUUCGAAAUUCCGAACAACUUCAUCCUUGAUUUGGAGUGCAUGAAUGAAUUUCUGAAUGGAUUAUUUUGAUUACCUGAGUUGGCGACUGUAGAGGCGUCGUGUAUCAAAUAAAAUCAUCUCCUCUUGUGCAUCGCAUGGGUGUGCGUUGCAUGUAAGUGAGGGAGAUGCAUAAAAUGGGAGUAGUAGAUUUUAGGAAGAGGCUGGUUUUACAAAUUCGUGUAUUGAUGCGGAAAUAAUAGUAAUAAUCAUUGUGUCCUUGUAUAGGAAGUGAGAACUACUCACGAAAGCACACAAGUUGGUUAGAAAGCGUCCACAUACAAAGAGUUUUCGUCAAAUGAAGUGUCCAAACACAAGUUGGUUAGAAAAGGUCCAAAUACAUAGGAGUAGCUUUAGGAAGACCCUGGCUUUUCUUUGUAGAUUUAAAUCACCUAUUGAAUUUCUGCUCCUCUGAUACUGCUACAUUCUUGUCAUGAUUGGUAACUAAAAGUGUCUGCUUUCUGGUUAACUGAAGAGAUUGUAAAAGAGAUGGAUGUGUAGGGGGCAUGGGAUCCCGGUGACAUAGAUUGUUGUUUGCAAACUACAUAGUAAACUGACUUAGUACAGUGAUUGACGCCAGCCUAGCAUACAUGUGUCAUGUGUGCUUAAGUAGUUCCCUUGAUUCAUGUCAACUAAUGCAUCAUGUGCUUUGCGUGUUGUUUCCAAUGAACGAUGGUCACCGCCAUGCCCUUUGGCUUUGGCGCCGGUACCGAGGGGACGGCGGUGGCUGUAUCAUCACUUCCUUGUCCAGCUACUAUGUCUUGGCAGAUUGCCUCCUCCUUGGCCACUACCUCAGCUUUGUCGGCAGCACAAUGACACUGGUUCGGUGGCGAUGGUUGCCUUUUCCUUGGUUCUGGUGCACAAGAAACCGUGUGUUGUGUGCGUCCAACAUCACCAGCGAGUGUGUUGGCAUGCGCAAGCCCUCACUCGACACCUCCCUCCCGCCCCUCCGGUGUAUGCUUCUUCAACUCUGGCAUAGAUUGCAAAGGAGCUGGCCGUGCAGGGGCAUGGGAUCCCGGUGACAGUGGCCAACACCACCUACAUGGGCAUGGAGGCGCUCCAUGCCGUCGGUGGCCUUGGCAAGCUGCCCGUGUACCAGUAUCUCAUGGAGGUCUAUAUUGGCGUUGCCAUGCCUGACAUCACUCAAGUAUUCCGGCAACCAGAAUCUUGUGUUUGUGAUGAUCUUGAAGUUCAAAUUUGUCCCUGUGCUGGUGCACAGGAGACCACGAGUUGUGUGCGCCCAACAUCACCAGCGAGUCCGAUGGCAUGCGCAAGCCCUCACUCCGGCGCGUUACUCCCGCCCCUUUGGCGUUCUUCGACUACGGCAUAGGUGCACAAGAGACUGCCGUGUAGUUUGAGCAGGGGAGAAGGCACCCAACAUCACCAGCAAGUCCGUCGGCCAUACACCGGCGCUCAAUGAGUGCCCUGCCCCUCCGGUGGCUUAUUCUUUGACUCCGACAUUGUUUUGAGAAGUCACCAAGUUUGAGGCGGAGCUUGUGCAUUGCUGCGAGGAGCUGCUGGAGCAAAUCGAGCAUCCUGGGGCGAGACUAUGCUGAUCUUGAGAUUGUCUGCGUUGUCGUGCGACUUUGGUAAAGAGUUUCCUCGGUGGUGCCAAUUUUGUACAUGUAGCUAGUGUUGAAAUGAAAUGGCAAUCUGAAGAUUUGUACUAUAUAUUUUUUGUUUUCUUGGUCGUGCUGUAGCAAAUGAGAUUGUUGUCGAGGUGGUGUAAGUAAAUGGCUGGCUAGAUGCUUGGGAAACCUACUUACUAUAUAGGUGGUUUCCUGUUUCGUGGCUGAGCCGCCUAUCUAUGUAUAUGGCUCUAGUGUUGUGAUGUAAAUGAUCCAGAAUCUCAUUCCCCUGUGAUGGCACAUAAUUGUUUUAUCAUA